GACGAACGCUGGCGGCGUGCUUAACACAUGCAAGUCGAACGGAAAGGCCCUGCUUUUGUGGGGUGCUCGAGUGGCGAACGGGUGAGUAACACGUGAGUAACCUGCCCUUGACUUUGGGAUAACUUCAGGAAACUGGGGCUAAUACCGGAUAGGAGCUCCUGCUGCAUGGUGGGGGUUGGAAAGUUUCGGCGGUUGGGGAUGGACUCGCGGCUUAUCGGCUUGUUGGUGGGGUAGUGGCUUACCAAGGCUUUGACGGGUAGCCGGCCUGGGAGGGUGACCGGCCACAUUGGGACUGAGAUACGGCCCAGACUCCUACGGGAGGCAGCAGAGGGGAAUAUUGCACAAUGGGCGGAAGCCUGAUGCAGCAACGCCGCGUGCGGGAUGACGGCCAUCGGGUUGUAAACCGCUUUCGCCUGUGACGAAGCGUGAGUGACGGUAAUGGGUAAAGAAGCACCGGCUAACUACGUG
rnacentral:rRNA from 1 species